AUGCGGGGGGAGCAAGCGUUGUCCGGAAUUACUGGGCGUAAAGGGCGUGUAGGCGGCUUGAUAAGUCAGAUGUGAAAGCCUUCCGCUUAACGGAAGAACUGCAUUUGAAACUGUCGGGCUUGAGUGCGAGAGAGGGUAGUGGAAUUCCCAGUGUAGCGGUGAAAUGCGUAGAUAUUGGGAAGAACACCAGUAGCGAAGGCGGCUACCUGGCUCGUAACUGACGCUAAGGCGCGAAAGCGUGGGGAGCAAACAGGAUUAGAAACCCCGGUAGUCC
rnacentral:rRNA from 1 species